GAGUUUGAUCUUGGCUCAGAUUGAACGCUGGCGGCAUGCCUUACACAUGCAAGUCGAACGGCAGCACGGGAGCUUGCUCCUGGUGGCGAGUGGCGAACGGGUGAGUAAUGCAUCGGAACGUAUCCUGGAGUGGGGGAUAACGUAGCGAAAGUUACGCUAAUACCGCAUAUUCUGUGAGCAAGGAAAGCGGGGGGCCUUCGGGCCUCGCGCUCUUGGAGCGGCCGAUGUCGGAUUAGCUAGUUGGUGAGGUAAAGGCUCACCAAGGCGACGAUCCGUAGCAGGUCUGAGAGGAUGAUCUGCCACACUGGAACUGAGACACGGUCCAGACUCCUACGGGAGGCAGCAGUGGGAAUUUGGACAAUGGGGCAACCCUGAUCCAGCCAUGCCGCGUGAGUGAAGAAGGCCUCGG
rnacentral:rRNA from 1 species